rnacentral:rRNA from 1 species
UGUGUAGGCGGCUCCUUAAGUUUGGUGUGAAAUCUCCCGGCUCAACUGGGAGGGUGCGCCGAAUACUGAAGGGCUAGAGUGCGGGAGAGGAGAGUGGAAUUCCUGGUGUAGCGGUGAAAUGCGUAGAUAUCAGGAGGAACACCGGUGGUGUAGACGGCUCUCUGGACCGUAACUGACGCUGAGACACGAAAGCGUGGGUAGCAAACAGGAUUAGAUACCCUGGUAGUCCACGCCCUAAACGAUGCAUAUUUGGUGUGGGUCAUUCAGUUGAUCUGUGCCGGAGCUAACGCGUUAAAUAUGCCGCCUGGGGAGUACAGUCGCAAGGCUAGAA